UUAUUGACUUUUUAUAAUAAGUUUUUUCUGCCCGGUGGUGUUUUUUAACGGCCGCGGUAUUUUGACCGUGCAAAGGUAGCAUAAUCAUUUGUCCUUUAAUUGGGGGCUAGAAUGAAAGAAAGUUUGAAGCUUUUUCUGUCUCUUUUUUAUUUUUGUAAUUUGCUGUUCUUGUGAAGAAGCAAGAGUUGUUAAAAAAGACAAGAAGACCCUAUUAAGCUUUAUUUUUUGUUUUUAUUCGUUUGAAUAUAAAAACAAAAAGAUUUGGUUGGGGUGACUAAAGAAGAAAAAUUUAUCUUCUUUUUUUAAAAAUAACUAUUUGUUUAACAGAGACCCAAAAUUUUUUGGUUGUAAGAAUUAGUUACUAUAGGGAUAACAGCGUUAUCUUUUCAUAAAGUUCUUAUUGAAGAAAAGGAUUGCGACCUCGAUGUUGACUUACUUUAUCCUAUAAAGGUGUAGCAGCUGUGAGGGUUGGUCUGUUCGANCAU
rnacentral:rRNA from 1 species